rnacentral:piRNA from 1 species
GUUAUGGGCUGGAGAUCAGUAAGCA